GGGGCGGGGCCAACAACAGUAUAACGUUAUUCCUUCAUGUCACUUUUCUGAUCAAAACCACGUGUGUACAUUUUUAAUCGCGUAAAUUUUACAGUCAUCAAACCCAAUAGACGACUUUAAAGUCUAACUAUUCAUCACAUAAAACAACGAGUUAAUUUUCUAAACUAUUCACAGCACAUUUCUAUGUAGGCUACUUUAUCUUUCGAGACGGACCGACCUGUAAAAAUGAUGCAGCGGGGCUCCUCUGAGCUCUUCAGGGGCAGUGGGUGUGACGCUCGUUCUAAGUAGGCAGCAC
rnacentral:lncRNA from 1 species